rnacentral:ncRNA from 2 species
CUCUUAUCGAGAGAGGUGGAGGGACGGGCCCUAUGAAACCCGGCAACCGCCUUGGUUAUCCGAGGUAUGGUGCCAAUUCCUGCAGGAUGUGAUUCCUGGGAGAUAAGAG